rnacentral:rRNA from 1 species
AUGAGGGGAGUCAUCGAGGGGUCACAAUACCAAGACUUGACAAGCGGCCUAACGCACCAAACUGGCGUGCGUACCGAGCACCACUGCGCAACAGAGGAGCAUCCACAUCAACGAGUGACUAGCACGAACCUUGACGGGGAACUCCGCCAUGAAGAAUCGGAAACGAUUAGCAAGUUGGGGAGGAAACUUGUGGCAUCAUUGAGCAAAGAUGAACCGGGACAACGCCAAGAGCACGAAGCUCGCCGCACCACAAUGGCAGCCAUGGAGGUCUUGAGCAUGCACAGCAACAGGGGCGACACUGACAAACACCACCACAGACGACCACAUACCAUCGUCGACCCAUCCGGUCGCACCACCACCACCAACAUCCCUGCAGCAGCACCCACACGUCAACCAAGCAGACCCCGAGAUGAUGCCUUCAACAAGGGCCGCGACGUCGGUUGCGCCGCCAUCAUCCGCACCAGGAGGACCUGUGCUAGGGGUUUCCCCUGA